GGAUCAAAUGAUGAGAGGAUUACUAAUAUUAACUUACUCGAAUGAGUAGCUGCCGUCGGCGUUCAUUUCGCUGUUGGAUGACACAAUUUCGAUGGGCUUCUUAUCUCCUUGAGGUGCGGCGAAGGCCACGGCCAAGAAAGCGACAGCGACGAUCUGGCAGUGCAUCAAGUCAAAAUAAAAGUUUCUCUUCUGAAGACAGUUGAAGGAAUUGUGUGAAGAAGAUUGCGAUGUUGGCCACCUUUUAUACCCUGCAGUUGCGGCUGAGUGAAAGUGAUAGGCCAAGACCUUCCACAGGUUUUCCAACUGUUGGAUGAUGUCUGAGCUAUGAUUAAAAUGGCCUAUGGUGCUGCAGUCCAAUGUGUGCUGAUGGUGUUUCCUGCCUUGUCACCUGGUUAAAUGAUUACUGGAACAAAAAAGAAUCCGUGUUGCAGAUCAUUAUCUAUUUUUGUUUAUUUUUAUUUUGCAAGUGAUAUGAGGCAAAUGUUUUUUUUUUCUUGCGCUUUGUAUUUUUCGCAAUUUUUCUCAAAGUGUUACUUGAAAUGGGGAAAGACUACUUGCUAAUAUAACAUGGGCUCGUAUGAAGUAUGAAUGGGGAUAUAGAAAGCUGAUUAAUGUUGUGAAAACAUGGCAGGAUUUUUUAUUACUUUUUAAAUCGAAAAUGUUUUGGAAGUUAAAGAGAAAAAUUUGAAUUACAAAUUCUCUAGUUAUAA